rnacentral:rRNA from 1 species
GUGGGGAAUCUUGCGCAAUGGGCGAAAGCCUGACGCAGCCAUGCCGCGUGAAUGAUGAAGGUCUUAGGAUUGUAAAAUUCUUUCACCGGGGACGAUAAUGACGGUACCCGGAGAAGAAGCUCCGGCUAACUUCGUGCCAGCAGUCGCGGUAAUACGAAGGGGGCUAGCGUUGCUCGGAAUUACUGGGCGUAAAGGGCGCGUAGGCGGACAGCUUAGUCAGAGGUGAAAGCCCAGGGCUCAACCUUGGAAUUGCCUUUGAUACUGGCUGUCUUGAGUUUGGGAGAGGUGAGUGGAACUCCGAGUGUAGAGGUGAAAUUCGUAGAUAUUCGGAAGAACACCAGUGGCGAAGGCGACUCACUGGCCCAAUACUGACGCUGAGGCGCGAAAGCGUGGGGAGCAAACAGGAUUAGAAACCCGGGUAGUCC